CCUACGGGGUGCAGCAGUGGGGAAUAUUGCACAAUGGGGGGAACCCUGAUGCAGCGACGCCGCGUGAGUGAAGAAGUAUUUCGGUAUGUAAAGCUCUAUCAGCAGGGAAGAAAAUGACGGUACCUGACUAAGAAGCCCCGGCUAACUACGUGCCAGCAGCCGCGGUAAUACGUAGGGGGCAAGCGUUAUCCGGAUUUACUGGGUGUAAAGGGAGCGCAGACGGCUGUGCAAGUCUGGAGUGAAAGGCGGGGGCCCAACCCCCGGACUGCUCUGGAAACUGUAAAGCUGGAGUGCAGGAGAGGUAAGCGGAAGUCCUAGUGUAGCGGUGAAAUGCGUAGAUAUUAGGAGGAACACCAGUGGCGAAGGCGGCCUGCUGGACAGAAACUGACGUUGAGGCUCGAAAGCGUGGGGAGCAAACAGGAUUAGAUACCCGGGUAGUC
rnacentral:rRNA from 1 species